rnacentral:rRNA from 1 species
AAUCAACGCUGGCGGCGUGCCUCAGACAUGCAAGUCGAACGCGAAAGUCCCCUUCGGGGGACAAGUAGAGUGGCGCACGGGUGAGUAACACGUAGGUAAUCUACCUUUGGAUGGGGAAUAACAACCGGAAACGGUUGCUAAUACCGCAUAAUGCAGCGGCACCUAAUGGUGACAGUUGUUAAAGCGGGGGAUCGAAAGACCUCGCGUCUAAAGAGGAGCCUGCGGCGGAUUAGCUAGUUGGUAAGGAAUGGCUUACCAAGGCUACGAUCCGUAACCGGCCUGAGAGGGCGGUCGGUCACACUGACACUGACAUACGGGUCAGACUCCUACGGGAGGCAGCAGUCGGGAAUUUUGGGCAAUGGGCGAAAGCCUGACCCAGCAACGCCGCGUGAAGGAUGAAAUCCCUCGGGA